GCACCUCAACACCCUCUUAAACAUUUUGAUGUCUUAUAAAAUAGACUAUCUAACUUGUUAUUAGAUUAUGGUUUUGUGACGAGUGUUUAAAAAAUAACACUAAAAUUAAAAGUAAUAUUAUAACAAUAUAAAUGUAAAGGGAACCGGGUCGCCAAUUUAAGAUAAUUGCUGUCACCUGGUCAAAUAGGUAGGACAUACAGUUGAAGCAAGUCUGAAAAUGACCUCAGAAGCAGCUACAGAUUUUAAAGAUGUCCCAGUAAACAGUGAAGACAUUUCAAAAGAACAACAGGCUCUUGCUGAUGUUGAGAACAAACUUGGGGCUUUUUCUGACCGGGUAAAGUUGUGCUCCAAAAUCCUGGAUGACCUUAAGGAUUUAAAUGAGGUACUAGUGAGGAGAUCUCUUCAAGAUGUGACCUUGCCGCUACAGAAGUGACUAAGAGAAUAAAUGCUUUUAAAAAUGUUCAAUAAAAAUGGCAAUCGUA